rnacentral:rRNA from 1 species
UACGAAGGGGGCUAGCGUUGUUCGGAAUCACUGGGCGUAAAGCGCACGCAGGCGGAUCGUUAAGUCAGGGGUGAAAUCCCGAGGCUCAACCUCGGAACUGCCUUUGAUACUGGCGAUCUUUGAGUCCGGGAGAGGUGAGUGGAACUCCGAGUGUAGAGGUGAAAUUCGUAGAUAUUCGGAAGAACACCAGUGGCGAAGGCGGCUCACUGGCCCGGUUCUGACGCUGAGGCGCGAAAGCGUGGGGAGCAAACAGG